CUCGGAACUGCAUCUAAAACUGAUAAGCUAGAGUACUAGAGAGGAAAGUAGAAUUCUUAGUGUAGCGGUGGAAUGCGUAGAUAUUAAGAGGAAUACCAAUGGCGAAGGCAACUUUCUGGAUAGAUACUGACACUGAGGUGCGAAAGCGUGGAGAGCAAACAGGAUUAGAUACCCUGGUAGUCCACGCCGUAAACGAUGAUAACUAGCCGUUGGAUUUAUUCCAGUGGCGCAGCUAACGCAUUAAGUUAUCCGCCUGGGGAGUACGGCCGCAAGGCUAAAACUCAAAUGAAUUGACGGGGACCCGCACAAGCGGUGGAGCAUGUGGUUUAAUUCGAUGCAACGCGAAAAACCUUACCUACACUUGACAUACUUCGAAUUUUCUAGAGAUAGAUUAGUGCCUUCGGGAACGAAGAUACAGGUGCUGCAUGGCUGUCGUCAGCUCGUGUCGUGAGAUGUUGGGUUAAGUCCUAUAACGAGCGCAACCCUUACCCUUAUUUGCCAGCGGUUCGGCCGGGAACUAUAAGGGAACUGCCGGUAAUAAGCCGGAGGAAGGUGGGGACGACGUCAAGUCAUCAUGGCCCUUACGUGUAGGGCUACACACGUGCUACAAUGGGAGAUACAGACGGUUGCUAAAGCGCGAGCUGGAGCUAAUCCGACAAAGUCUCUCGUAGUCCGAAUUGCAGUCUGGAACUCGACUGCAUGAAGCCGGAAUCGCUAGUAAUCGCGAAUCAGCAUGUCGCGGUGAAUACGUUCUCGGGUCUUGUACACACCGCCCGUCACACCAUGGAAGUGGAUUGCACCAGAAGUAGAUAGUCUAACCUUCGGGAGGGCGUUUACCACGGUGUGUUUCAUGACUGGGGUGAAGUCGUAACAAGGUAACCG
rnacentral:rRNA from 1 species